rnacentral:rRNA from 1 species
GAAAGUAAGAAAGGGCGUAUGGCGGAUGCCUAGGCUCACGGAGGCGAUGAAGGACGUGAUAAGCUGCGAUAAGCUUCGGGUAGGUGCAAAUAACCUUUGAUCCGAAGAUUUCCGAAUGGGACAACCCGUCAUUCUGAAGGAAUGACAUCUUGCAUAGCAAGAGGCUAACGCAGGGAACUGAAACAUCUUAGUACCUGCAGGAAAAGAAAAUAAUAAUGAUUCCCCAAGUAGUGGCGAGCGAACGGGGAUUAGCCCAAACCAAUGUUGUUACGGCAAUAUUGGGGUUGUAGGACCACGAUGUCGCAAGAACUUUAGUGAGAAGAAUUCUUUGGAAAAUGAAACCAUAGACGGUGAUAGUCCGGUAUUCGAAGCUAAACGAAGCGUAGUGGUAUCCUGAGUAGCGCGGGACACGAGGAAUCUUGCGUGAAUCUGCCGGGACCAUCCGGUAAGGCUAAAUACUCCCGAGAGACCGAUAGCGAACCAGUACUGUGAAGGAAAGGUGAAAAGCACUUCGAAUAGAAGAGUGAAAUAGUCCCUGAAACCGUGCGCCUACAAGCGGUCGGAGCAGCGUAAGUUGUGACGGCGUGCCUUUUGCAUAAUGAACCUACGAGUUACUUUUUCCGGCAAGGUUAAGCAUUUCAAAAUGUGUAGCCGAAGCGAAAGCGAGUCUGAACAGGGCGAUUAGUCGGAAGGAGUAGACGCGAAACCAAGUGAUCUACCCUUGGUCAGGUUGAAGGUUAGGUAACACUAACUGGAGGACCGAACCGAUAAGCGUUGAAAAGCUUCCGGAUGAACUGAGGGUGGGGGUGAAAGGCUAAUCAAACUUGGAGAUAGCUCGUACUCCCCGAAAUGCAUUUAGGUGCAGCCUUGGGAAUUACUACUGUGAGGUAGAGCGACUGAUAAGAUGCGAGGGCUUCACCGCCUAUCAAGUCUUGAUAAACUCCGAAUGCGCAGUAGUUCGAUCCCAGGAGUGAGGGCAUGGGUGCUAAGGUCCAUGUCCUAAAGGAGAAGAAUCCGGACCAUCAGCUAAGGUCCCGAAAUAAUUGCUAAGUUGAACUAACGAAGUCAGAUUGCUAAGACAGCUAGGAUGUUGGCUUGGAAGCAGCCAUUCAUUUAAAGAGUGCGUAACAGCUCACUAGUCGAGGAGUUUGGCGUGGAUAAUAAUCGGGCAUAAGUAUUCUACCGAAGCUUUGGGAUGAGAAAUCAUCGGUAGGGGAGCAUUCCACUCUGCGUCGAAGGUGAAGCGCGAGCUUUGCUGGAGCGUGUGGAAAAGCAAAUGUAGGUAUAAGUAACGAUAAAGGGGGUGGGAAACCCCCUCGCCGAAAGACUAAGGUUUCCUGAUCAACGCUAAUCGGAUCAGGGUAAGUCGGGUCCUAAGGCUCAGCCGAACGGCGAGGCCGAUGGCAGAACCGGUUAAUAUUCCGGUACUACCUGUGGGAGUGACGUGGAGACGGAGUCGUGACAGCGCCGCGGACUGACGGAAUAGUCCGUUGAAGGGUGUAGAUGCUGAUUGUUCCAGGCAAAUCCGGAGCAAGAGUCGAACCUGAUAGUAUGGAGCGUUCUUAGAACAAUCCAAUAGUGCGUGUAAUCAUACUUCCAAGAAAAUCCGCUAAACUUAAUCCUGCAGGUACCCGUACCGCAAACGGACACACGUAGUCGGGUUGAAUAUACUAAGGCGCUUGAGUGAUUCACGGUUAAGGAACUAGGCAAACUGACCCUGUAACUUCGGGAUAAAGGGUCCUCGCUUUACGGCGAGGCGCAGAGAAUAGGUCCAGGCAACUGUUUAACAAAAACACAGGGCUGUGCAAAAUUGAAAGAUGAAGUAUACAGCCUGACACCUGCCCGGUGCUGGAAGGUUAAGAGGAGAUGUCAUCGCAAGAGAAGCAUUGAAUUGAAGCCCCAGUAAACGGCGGCCGUAACUAUAACGGUCCUAAGGUAGCGAAAUUCCUUGUCGGGUAAGUUCCGACCUG